rfam:Hordeum vulgare subsp. vulgare, WGS project CAJW01000000 data, contig: morex_contig_1618466
CUUAUACUCCCUCCAUCCGAAAUUACUUGUCGCACGAAUUUAUAAAAAUGGAUGUAUUUAGAACUAAAAUACAUCUAGAUACAUCCAUUCCCGUGACAAGUAUUUUCGGACGGAGAGAGCAUUUA